UUGGACUUUUUUGUACUUCAUGUAGCACAAAGUCAUGAUCAAGCUGAAACUACUACUUAAUCUUCUUCUUCAUAGGGGCUCAGACUUGUGUUGAUUAUGUUAUAAAUCAAUAUUAUUCUUGAAGAAACAAACAAGAUUAAUAUUGGUUUAUGUAUGUACCAUAAUGUUGAUCAAAUCAGCAGCUCAGCUUCAGUUUCAGUGAUAAUUUGUUUGUAUGUGAGUUGUAUUUUCUUGGAAGUUCUUGUACUUGAUGUAGUUCAAACUCAAGCUCAAGCUAGUACUAAAGCUCCUAAUGAAGGAAAAUUGUCGAUCUGCAAGUUAAUGGUAUGAUCCCAGAUGAACUAUGGAGUUUGAAUUUCCUUACCCAUCGGGACUUGGCAACAAAUCUCUUGUCAGGUCCACUGUCUCCAUCUGUCAGCAAUCUAACUGCAAUAAAACAUCUGAACUUUCGCCGUAACACAUUAUCUGGGCAGAUUCCAAAAGAGCUUGGCAUGCUUCCUAAGUUAGUAUUCCUAGUAAUCGGAACAAACAACUUCUCGGGUUCUGUGCCACCUGAGCUUUUGUAAUUUGCCAAAUUUUAGAGCAACUUUAUAUGGGAACCUUGAGACUAUCUAGUCCUCUACCCUCUGAGCUUGGUAAUUUGACGAAAUUAAAGGAAUUGUAAGUUGCUUUAGAUGUUUCAGUUUCAUUUUAGAUGCAAAAUAUUGUUUAUAUUGAGCAUAUAUCCUAGUCUAUAAUGUUCUGUACAAUGAUGCAAAAGGUGAAACCCCAGCUGGCUUUAGUCUUCACAUUUAUUGGAGAUUAUACUAUCAUGUGUCCCAUAAUUGUUUACUUGAUGAUGGCUUUUGCUGGAGACAAGUUACUAGAUUGUGAUGGAAUUUAUGGAUAUUAUUUGCCUAGGCAGAUUGAUUGACAGUUCUGGAGUAAAUGGUGAGAUUCCUUCAACUUUUGCCAAUCUAAAGAACCUGGAAACACUGUAAGAACUUUUUUAUUCUGUUAAUCUUCUACUUGGAAUUUUUCUAAUAUAGAUACGCAUUCUGCUGAUGAAAAAUGGCUGGGGUCGGAUCGUAAACAAAUUCUUCUUUUGGGCACAUGUUGGCUUCUGACAUUGAGCUUACAGGAGGGAUCCCUGAUUUUAUAGGAAAUUGGUCGCAUCUUAAAACCUUGAGGUUUCAAGGAAACUCUUUUGAAGGGUCAAUACCCGUCAUCCUUUUCCAAUCUGACUGAGUUGUGAGUGUUCACCUGCAACGUUUCAUUGAUCACAUCUGAAUUUUGCAAUGAUCAAUGCUAACAAUCUCAUGAACAAUGGAAAUGUAGGAGAAUAAGCGAUUUAUUGAAUGGGAGCUCGUCGUUGUCAUUUAUAAGGAAUAUAAAAUCUUUAACUAUCUUAUAAGGCAAUAUUGUCAAAGUUCUAUUAUCUUGUGUUCAAUAACCUGACAUAUAUACUUCUUGUGUUUUUCUUCUUCUUCUUCUUUUAAUCUAGACAGCUGGUUUCAUAUACCGUACAGAACUAAGGAAUAACAAAAUUUCCGAUUCAAUUCUAUAUGACAUUGGCAACUACCAGAGUUUGGUGCAUUUGGAUUUGAGUUUCAACAAUUUAAGUGAUCAGAUUCCCAGCUCGCUUUUCAAUUUGGGUUCUCUAGCUUCCCUGUUUCUUGGAAAUAAUAGGUUAACCGGCACACUGCCUGGCAAUAAAAGUGAAUAGAUGUGUCAUACAACAAUUUAUCAGGUAGCAUUCCUUCUUGGAUAAUCCAACAAAAUUUACAACUGUAAGUCUUCAAACUCUUUGAAAUUUGUUAUACAAAGCAAAAUAUUCUGCUACCUCCACUGUAACAUUUCAUUCAGAACUUACAUUUCUAACAAAGAGUUGUAUAUGCUCUUUGUUCUGUCUCGCUUCAAGAGAAAGAAUAAUAUAUAUUCAGUAUUUUUUUUUUUUUUUUUUUUUUUACUAAAA